rnacentral:rRNA from 1 species
GACGAACGCUGGCGGCGUGCUUAACACAUGCAAGUCGAACGGAAAGGCCCUGCUUGCAGGGUACUCGAGUGGCGAACGGGUGAGUAACACGUGGGUGAUCUGCCCUGCACUUCGGGAUAAGCUUGGGAAACUGGGUCUAAUACCGGAUAGGAGCCAUCUUUAGUGUGGUGGUUGGAAAGUUUUUUCGGUGUAGGAUGAGCUCGCGGCCUAUCAGCUUGUUGGUGGGGUAAUGGCCUACCAAGGCGGCGACGGGUAGCCGGCCUGAGAGGGUGUACGGCCACAUUGGGACUGAGAUACGGCCCAGACUCCUACGGGAGGCAGCAGUGGGGAAUAUUGCACAAUGGGCGCAAGCCUGAUGCAGCGACGCCGCGUGGGGGAUGAAGGCCUUCGGGUUGUAAACUCCUUUCGCUAGGGACGAAGCUUUGUGUGACGGUACCUAGAGAAGAAGCACCGGCUAACUACGUG